CGCAUCACGUUGAAACACAUGUUCCCGUUCGAUCCCCAAAGUUAAGCAGCGUCGAGCCUGGUCAGUAUCUAAAUGGGUGACUGUUUGGGAAUACCAGGUGCUGUAAG